rnacentral:lncRNA from 1 species
CUCAAGUACUAUUUUCAGGGCAGAGAUCAAAUCCGGGGUGGUCUUGUACAAUCCUUUAAGACCUCAAAGAUGUUAGGUGGGGCCUCAUAUCCUUUCAAACAGACAAAAAUGUUCUAAGAAUCUGAAGGGUGUGCAUCGCAGACCCUUUGUGUUAACAGGAUUUUUAAAAUUUUUUGUUUUUGUUUUUCUUAAGACUGUUUUGUUUAGGGUUUUUUUGAUACAGGUUUUUGCUGUCUCUCCCAGGCUAGAGUGCAGUGGCUCGCUGUUGGCUCAAGGGAUGUAACCUCCACAUCCCAUGCUCAAGGGAUCCUCCCACCUCAGCCUCCCAAGUAGCUGGGACCACAUGUGUAAGCCACAAAGCCUAGCUAAUUUUUGUAUUUUGGUAGAGAUAGGGUUUCAAUAUGUUGCCCAGGUGAGUGUCAAACUCCUGGGCUACAGCCGUCCUCCCACCUUGGCCUCCCUAAGUGCUGGGAUUUAUAGGCAUAAGCCACUGUGCCAGGACUUUUAAGACACUUAAGGGAAUUUUUCGAAGGCAACCUCACAGGGAGUGAAGGCUUACUUUAAAGAGUUUUGUCUAACUUUCAUUUAAUGGAGUAGAUUACAAAUUAAUAUACAAAAAUUUCACAAAAAAUUUUAAAGGAAUUGUGUCAGCUUGAACUGAAAAGGACAGACGGAGCAAAAUGAAAAGAAGCCUUUGUUUUCCAGAAUGAAUGUGGGCAGGAAGGAUCCUGAAAUAUCUACUUAGCUGCAUUUCCAAUGCUAGGUCAUACAUGGCAAUACAACUUCUGCCUUGUUUGCUGGAACACUUGCAAUGGAGCACUGUUUUGGCAGAUACCUUGCAAGCAACUUAAUGAAUGAAUGGAUGAAUGAACAUCUCCAUUUUGAGAACAAAGAAGAAAAAAUUUCUUUUAAAGAAAGGCCAAAGAAUUAUUAUAGAUCUUUUCUUUCGACAUUCCUAAACAAGAACAGGCCUAGAUGGUGUCAUUUUCAAUUCUUGUCCUAACUGGUCAGUGACCAAAACCUCUAAAAAUUCACAAAGAAGCUCAUGAGGAGGUCCGAGGCUGCCCAAAAGGCAUUUGGUCUCUGGCCCAGGAGCUCAGGACAGACCUAAGGUUUGAGUGAAAUCUGGGCUGGAGUAAACCUUAGCAACCUGUCAUUACCUACAGGGCAAUAAGCUGGCUCCCUUCCAGUGGCUUCUGUUUUGUAUGUUCAUCUCUGCCCAGAGCUCUGUCAUCUAGUGUUGCACUGUUCAGUAUGGGAACCAUGAGCCAAAACUGACUGCUGAGUAUUUGAAAUGGGACUAACACUGAGAUGUGCUGUCGAUGUGAAAUACACACCAGAUUUCAAAGACUUAGUAUGGAAAAAAAAAGAAAAAAAAAACCUCAUUAAUAUUUGUUAUGUUGAUUGCAUUUUGAAAUGAUAAUAUUUUGGAUAUAGUAGGUUAAAAUAUUAUUAAAAUUAAUUUUACUGUUUUCUUUUUACUUUUUUGCUUGUGGCCACUAAACAUCUUCAAGUUACAUGUAGCUCACAUUGUAUUUCUAUUGGAAAGGCCAUUUUAAUAGAAUUAUGCCCUUAGUUUCCCAGAUUCUCCCAAUAAGUUCAAAGCAUUCAGUAACGCAGGAACAUUUUGUUGAACACCCUGUGAUUAGACAUAUAACCCUGUUGUUCAUAGGAUCUGAUUGUAUCAUUUCUAUUUACAUUUGUCCUACAAUUUGCAAUUGUCUUGCAAAUCUAAUGCCGGUGCAAGAUGAUUUCCAUUUUAUCCUAAUAAAACCUCAAUUUAGGUAUAGAAUGAACAAAUAAAUGCAGAUGGGGAAAAGGAAGGAAAGAUGCACUGUGUUGGGAAAUUUCUGCUCAAAACACCUCUUCAGAGUGUGUAUUAUUUUCUCUGUUUUUACAGAGAGGAAUAAUGGCUCAGAGAGGUUAAGUAACUGUCUAAAAGUAAUACAGCUCUUACCUAUCAGAGGAUUCAAAAGGCCUAACAAACUCCAAAGCAGAAACUCUUUCUCAAAAUCUCAAUGCUCCUCUGUUACUGACAAAUUUGAGAAAAUUAAAUUGUAGCAAUCAAUUUUGGAGAUCGUUCUUUUCUUUGUUUUUAAUGUAUACUUUAAUAAGUAUAAAGAAUAUAAACAAGUAAACCUGUGGAGAAGCUGACAAAAAUACAUAAAUUAGGAUUUACACUGCUCUAAUGUAAAAAAAUAUAAAUUUUCUAUUUUUUUGCAGAAUAUUUAUUAAUGUGGUUUAAUGUACAAUUUCUUGUUUGUCAUUUGGAAGUCACUUAUUAUAAAGACAAUUUUUUUGUCUUAUGACAAACAGCAGUCCACAUUGGAUAAAUUUGAUUUCUUCUUGAGACAUA